AUUGAACGCUGGCGGCAGGCCUAACACAUGCAAGUCGAGCGGAUGAAGGGAGCUUGCUCCUGGAUUCAGCGGCGGACGGGUGAGUAAUGCCUAGGAAUCUGCCUGGUAGUGGGGGAUAACGUCCGGAAACGGGCGCUAAUACCGCAUACGUCCUGAGGGAGAAAGUGGGGGAUCUUCGGACCUCACGCUAUCAGAUGAGCCUAGGUCGGAUUAGCUAGUUGGUGGGGUAAAGGCCUACCAAGGCGACGAUCCGUAACUGGUCUGAGAGGAUGAUCAGUCACACUGGAACGGAGACACGGUCCAUACUCCUACGGGAGGCAGCAGUGGGGAAUAUUGGACAAUGGGCGAAAGCAUGAUCCAGCCAUGCCGCGUGUGUGAAGAAGGUCUUCGGAUUGUAAAGCACUUUAAGUUGGGAGGAAGGGCAGUAAGUUAAUACCUUGCUGUUUUGACGGUACCAACAGAAUAAGCACCGGCUAACUUCGUG
rnacentral:rRNA from 1 species